GAUGAACGCUGGCGGCGUGCCUAAUACAUGCAAGUCGAGCGAACGGACGAGAAGCUUGCUUCUCUGAUGUUAGCGGCGGACGGGUGAGUAACACGUGGAUAACCUACCUAUAAGACUGGGAUAACUUCGGGAAACCGGAGCUAAUACCGGAUAAUAUUUUGAACCGCAUGCUUCAAAAGUAAAAGACGGUCUUGCUGUCACUUAUAGAUGGAUCCGCGCUGCAUUAGCUAGUUGGUAAGGUAACGGCUUACCAGGGCAACGAUGCAUAGCCGACCUGAGAGGGUGAUCGGCCACACUGGAACUGAGACACGGUCCAGACUCCUACGGGAGGCAGCAGUAGGGAAUCUUCCGCAAUGGGCGAAAGCCUGACGGAGCAACGCCGCGUGAGUGAUGAAGGUCUUCGGAUCGUAAAACUCUGUUAUUAGGGAAGAACAUAUGUGUAAGUAACUGUGCACAUCUUGACGGUACCUAAUCAGAAAGCCACGGCUAACUACGUG
rnacentral:rRNA from 1 species